GUGCAUGUCCACUAAUUUGGUCUGUGGUUGGAUGGGUAUUUAAAAAUCCUAAUUGGUGUGUUGGGUGGAUGAAGAUAAUGUCUAGCGGUUGGGGGUAGGAAUUAUUUUGUAUGAAAUUGCAAUGCUAAGCAUGCCUUGUAUCCGAUUUUUUGCUUUGUUAUGUUUUGUCUGUGCAGUAUUUGACUACAUGUUAUGUUUUUG
rnacentral:lncRNA from 1 species